rnacentral:lncRNA from 1 species
GGCACACCUGCUAAGAGUUUGUGGCAUAGACUUGGAAGACGACUGAGAACUUUGAAAUCCCUACCCUUUGCAAGGACCAGAGGACACUCACAGUUGCCACAUUUAAACCCAACAGCCCACUAGAACAACAUCAUCUGUGACUAUCUCUCUUGUGCUCCUCGGCUACAAGAUCGUCUUCCUUGAUAGUUUUUAUUGCUUCUGGAAGUAAUUUGCUCUUCAUCAGGUUAUCACAAAUGAAAACCAAGACAGGUCAGAAGAAAGCUGGUUUCUUUGUCAGCAAGAUACUUCCCUUUGCCAGAGCUGAGAGAGAGAGAGAGAGAGAGAGAGAGAAAGAGAGUUGGAAUUAGAAAAAAAAGGUUUCAAGUCCCUUUCUGACAUCUGUGAUCUUUUAACAGAGAUGUAAAGCAUAUGAGAUUUGCAACCUUUCGUGGCCUGAAGGGAUCCAGUUAUUUGGCCAGUUGUGAAGACAUACUCUUGUUCCUACUCGCACUGUCAUGCUGUCAUGGGGGGUGCAUGCCUGUUUCAUGAUAAAAGGAAGCUAAACGGGGUUUUUACAGGAAUUUCAGAAGUCUCAGAAUUAUUGAAGACUCAUACCAGGAUGAAACCCAAGUUCUUCAAACCAAAGUGAAGCAAAUGUGACAUAUUAUAGACAAGAGCAGAGGAGCAGGAAAAAAGAGAAAGAAAUGACAAAGAAGCAGGCGGACAAAAUGAAUAGAAAAAAUGGCAUCUUUUCAUGCAUGUUGGAUGUAACUCCUGGGACAUCAAUUUCUUUCUAUGUGGUUAUACGUUUGUGGUUAUCUGGCAUUUGGACGGGCAGAAUGGAGGGAAGGGGUUUUUAAAAAUAACACACUCUCUUUGGCACAGGACAGUACUAGCAUGAAAGGUUGGUUGUUUCAAAGGACUAAUCCAGGCUGUGGGGCUGUCCUGCAAACACUGAAUCAUGACCUUGCCGGCACCUUGCUGCGGGCAUCAGCAGGAGAAGAUGUGGAGGUUCCAGCAAUGGUAUUUUGUUCCACGUAAGACCAACCACAUUCCCUCACAUCUUACUUCACAUAGUCUAGCACUCCGUGUAGUCCAAUAUGGGCAUCUAAGAAGCAGCAGGCUAAUAAGAGCCCAAAAUGAAGAAAAUCUAAAAAUUAGCCCGACUUAGCCAAUAAAAAGUAGCUCCAGCUAACCCAGCCAGACCUUUAGGAAAGAGCCCAGGAAUGUCUCUCUCCAUCCUUGCCCUGCUCCUCAACCUCCCCUUUGUUCACCAGGCUCCCAACUUCUCUUCUUGCCUCAUACAUACCCGGCCACGGAUGCUGUCUCAUCGGCUGGAUGCACAACACUUCAAUGGAGCAAGGGCUUUCUGUUGUUGUUGUACCUGCCCUCUUGCUCCAUCAACUCCAGAACCCUGGUGAAUUAGGCUUCACUGCCUUGCAGACUUCCUAGUGAGUGCUGGGACAUCCAUUUAUUUGGGAGAGAACAAAAUGCACAGUUGUACGAAGGCAAAGGCUGAACAGUUGGGGAGAGCGACAGUUGGAGAGAAGAGCAUCAGAGGCCUCGUGGUAAACCCAAAUGAGAGCUGCGCUGUGCGGGAGGAUGCCUGGGAGGCACCAACGCCCCUGGAACUUAGAUCUGGACGGCCUUGCAGGCAAAGAUACACAAUCCCCCAAGUUAAAAUGUUGAAGGGCAACAGACCAAAACCAGAACAACACAGUUUCC